rnacentral:lncRNA from 1 species
UAUUGUAAAUCUUAUGGAAUUGACAAGGAUAAAAUUGUCAAAAAAUAUAGUUUGUCCUUUUCGCGCCAACAAUUUCAAUUUUUUUUUUAGUUGUGUCAGUUUACAAACUGUUGUUAAGGGCAAUAUUGUAUUUGCAUAGUCAACUAACGGUCAAUGUAAAAAUUAACUGACGGUAGGAGGUAUUUUACAAAUAAAUAGAUUCUCGUCAUCUACUUGCAACAAGCCCAAACCUCAGAGGAGGUUUUUAAAAAUUACCCUUUCCAAAAUACCUUCAUUCCGCAAAUAUGUUUCCGCUAGCUCCUUACAAUCACAAAAGCUUCAUUCUCUUCAAUUCCACAACAUCACACAUUUUGCUCCUCCCCUAACCUUACGGAAUCCCUUCUUUAACUUUUAAAUAAAUUUCUAUAUUUAUUAAUUAUUUAUGGGUAGGGCAGAUCAAUAUUUUUAUUUAAGGUCAAUCCAAAUUUAAUUUUGUAGUCAUCAACUCAUUAAAGGAGUUUAAUACCUCAUUCUUGAAAGUUAAAGGUAUCACUAAUGUUAUACUCAUGUUUGCUUCUUUGAAAAUUUUUGAAUUGCUCACAUUUUUUUGGUUAAUUAAUUGAAUAGAUGAAUCUGUACUGGCAAUAUUUUUACUCUCUUUAAUAUUCGAGAGACACCUACUACACUCACAUUUCGAGAUUUUACUUUCUCUAAUAUUUGAAUAAUACUUACACCGCUCAGAUUUUUAGAUGCCUACUCCACUCACUUUUCUAAUUGAGAAGACUAUCUUCACUCAAUUAUUUCAUAAUUAAGGAAAAAAAUUAAGCGCCCAUAAUUAUUUUUAUUGGAAUUUAAAUACUUGUUUUCAUAUAUUCUCUCACUAGACCAAAGACUUAAUCGUAUAUAAUUCAUUUCUUUAAAAUAUAAACUUGUCAUUUUUACUUGUGAUAUCUUUAGUAAUCUGUGAACAUGAGGACAAAUCUCCAUUAAGUUGAGGUAGCUCAGGAAAAUUCCUUGCUCACUCUCCUACUCUUUUUGCUUUCUCUUCUCUCCCUUUUUGUCAUUUUUCUUUUAUUAAAUGCUUACAUCUAGAUUCUUGGAUGAUAUUUUUCUGUUUAUAUAUAUAUAUAUUUGUCACUCUUUACUUUUCUCCUCAAUAUAUUUGGCAUAUUUCAAUACAUUUUGCUUUUAGCUUUAUUUAAUAUCUUAUAUUUUCUAACCUCUUAUAGUGUGUUUAUUUGAAGGUUUAGGGAAUGAAAAUGAAAUUCAUGUUUACUUGACAAAAUGUAAUUUGAGAAUAGGAAUAUAAUGUGUGGAUCCCGCACAAUUUGAGAAUAAAGAAUGAGAAUCUCCUUCCCAUGAGGGGGUUGGGAAUGGAGAUUCUCAUU